GAGUCUUCCUGCGCGGAAGAUGUAACGGGGCUAAGUCAAUAACCGAAGCCGCGGAUUCGCAGCAAUGCGAGUGGUAGGGGAGCGUUCUGUAAGCCUGCGAAGGCGGAUCUGCGAGGACCGCUGGAGGUAUCGGAAGUGCGAAUGCUGACAUGAGUAACGUUAAAGCGGGUGAAAAGCCCGCUCGCCGCAAGCCCAAGGUUUCCUGCUCUACGUUCAUCGGAGCAGGGUGAGUCGGCCCCUAAGGUCAGGCUGAGAAGCAUAGCUGAUGGGAACCUGGUUAAUAUUCCAGCACCGAUUUCAAGUGCGAAGGGGGGACGGAGUCCUGAAGGUCAUCCGGGUGUUGGAUAUCCCGGUUUACGAGCGUAGGAGGUUGACAGGCAAAUCCGUCAACGGAUUUCCGAGGCGAAGGAUCGAGGCUGGAUCAACUGAAGUGACUGAAUGGGCUUCCAGGAAAAGCCUCUAAGCAUCAGCUUGGAAUUGACCGUACCGCAAACCGACACUGGUGGGCGAGCUGAAUAUGCUCAGGCGCUUGAGAGAACUCAGGAGAAGGAACUCGGCAAAUUGACACCGUAACUUCGGGAUAAGGUGUGCCUUUGUAGUGUGAAGGGAGAAACGCCCCGAGCAUGAAGAGGUCUCAGAGAAUUGGUGGCUGCAACUGUUUACUAAAAACACAGCACUCUGCAAAGACGAAAGUCGACGUAUAGGGUGUGAUGCCUGCCCGGUGCUGGAAGAUUAAUUGAUGGGCUGCAAGGUCCUGAUCGAAGUCCCAGUAAACGGCGGCCGUAACUAUAACGGUCCUAAGGUAGCGAAAUUCCUUGUCGGGCAAGUUCCGACCUGCACGAAUGGCAUAAUGAUGGCCACACUGUCUCCUCCUGAGACUCAGUGAAGUUGAAGUGUUUGUGAUGAUGCAAUCUCCCCGCGGCUAGACGGAAAGACCCCAUGAACCUUUACUGCAGCUUUGCAUUGGACUUUGAACCGAUCUGUGUAGGAUAGGUGGGAGGCAGUGAAGCUAGGACGCCAGUCUUAGCGGAGCCAACCUUGAAAUACCACCCUGAUUUGUUUGAGGUUCUAACCUGGGAGCGUAAUCCGCUCCGGGGACCGUGCAUGGUAGGCAGUUUGACUGGGGCGGUCUCCUCCUAAAGGGUAACGGAGGAGUGCGAAGGUACGCUAGGCACGGUCGGAAAUCGUGCUGAUAGUGCAAUGGCAAAAGCGUGCUUGACUGCGAGUCCGACAAGACGAGCAGAUACGAAAGUA
rnacentral:rRNA from 1 species